GAUGAACGCUGGCGGCGUGCCUAAUACAUGCAAGUCAAGCGAACAGACGAGGAGCUUGCUCCUCUGACGUUAGCGGCGGACGGGUGAGUAACACGUGGAUAACCUACCUAUAAGACUGGGAUAACUUCGGGAAACCGGAGCUAAUACCGGAUAAUAUAUUGAACCGCAUGGUUCAAUAGUGAAAGACGGUUUUGCUGUCACUUAUAGAUGGAUCCGCGCCGCACUAGCUAGUUGGUAAGGUAACGGCUUACCAAGGCAACGAUGCGUAGCCGACCUGAGAGGGUGGUCGGCCACACUGGAACGGAGACACGGUCCAGACUCCUACGGGAGGCAGCAGUCGGGAAUCUUCCGCAAUGGGCGAAAGCCUGACGGAGCAACGCCGCGUGAGUGAUGAAGGUCUUCGGAUCGUAAAACUCUGUUAUUAGGGAAGAACAAAUGUGUAAGUAACUAUGCACGUCUUGACGGUACCUAAUCAGAAAGCCACGGCUAACUACGUG
rnacentral:rRNA from 1 species